rnacentral:rRNA from 1 species
UACGUAGGGUGCAAGCGUUUAAUCGGAAUUACUGGGCGUAAAGCGUGCGCAGGCGGUUAUGUAAGACAGAUGUGAAAUGCCCGGGCUUAACCUGGAACUGCAUUUGUGACUGCAUGGCUAGAGUUUGGCAGAGGGGGGUAGAAUUCCACGUGUGAGCAGUGAAAUGCGUAGAUAUGUGGAGGAACACCGAUGGCGAAGGCAGCCCCCUGGGUCAAGACUGGACGCUCAUGCACGAAAG